rnacentral:rRNA from 1 species
UAUGUGAUCGUCUCUCGCAUAUCAAUAAGCGGAGGAAAAGAAACUAACAAGGAUUCCCCUAGUAACGGCGAGUGAAGCGGGAAGAGCUCAAAUUUGAAAUCUUAAAGGGUUUCCCUUUACGAAUUGUAGUUUAAAGAAGUGUUUUCUGUUGAGGUUUUGGUAAAAGUUCUUUGGAAUAGGACAUCAUAGAGGGUGAGAAUCCCGUAUUUGACCUUUACUUUCAACUUUGUGAUACACUUUCAAAGAGUCGGAUUGUUUGGGAAUGCAGUCCAAAAUGGGUGGUAAAUUUCAUCUAAAGCUAAAUAUUGGCGAGAGACCGAUAGCGAACAAGUACCGUGAGGGAAAGAUGAAAAGAACUUUGAAAAGAGAGUUAAACAGUACGUGAAAUUGUCAAAAGGGAAGCGUUUGACACCAGUGUUGUUUUUCUGAAAAUCAAUUAAAGAACUGUUUAUGCUUAAGUUGUUUAGACUUUAUCAGCUAACUGUUUAGUUUUGAGCUUUUCUUUAAUGCACUUUUCAGUUAACAAGUCAACAUCAAUUUCUUUUGCUGUAAAAAAGCUUGAGGAAGGUGGCUUGAGAUUCGUCUUAAGUGUUUAUAGCCUCUUGCCUAUGCAGUCGGAGAGAUUGAGGUCUGCAGCGUAGAUCCUUCGGGGCUAAAUGCAUUUGUGCUAAGUUAUAGCAUUUUAUAGACAACUUGUUGACUAUGAUUUGUCUUGUAGCUUACUCGCUUAUGUUAUUUUACCUACGCUUAGGAUGUUGAAGACUCUACAGAGAUA